rnacentral:rRNA from 1 species
UACGUAGGGGCCGAGCGUUGUCCGGAGUUACUGGGCGUAAAGCGCGCGCAGGCGGCUCGUCAAGCCUGACGUGAAAGCCCCCGGCUCAACCGGGGAGGGUCGUCGGGGACUGGCGAGCUUGAGGUCGGCAGGGGUUGGUGGAAUUCCCGGUGUAGUGGUGAAAUGCGUAGAGAUCGGGAGGAACACCCGUGGCGAAGGCAGGUCUCUGGGCCACUACUGACGCUGAGAAGCGAAAGCAUGGGGAGCGAACAGG